rnacentral:rRNA from 1 species
GACGAACGCUGGCGGCGUGCCUAAUACAUGCAAGUAGAACGAGUGGCGGACGGGUGAGUAAUGUCUGGGAAACUGCCUGAUGGAGGGGGAUAACUACUGGAAACGGUAGCUAAUACCGCAUACCAUCAGAUGUGCCCAGAUGGGAUGAGCUCGUGGGUGGGGUAACGGCUCACCUAGGCGACGAUCCCUAGCUGGUCUGAGCGGAUGACCAGCCACACUGGAACUGUGACACGGUCCAGACGCCUACGGGAGGGAGCAGUGGGGAAUAUUGCACAAUGGGCGCAAGCCUGAUGCAGCCAUGCCGCGUGUAUGAAGAAGGCCUUCGGGUUGUAAAGUACUUUCAGCGGGGAGGCGUUACCCGCAGAAGAAGCACCGGCUAACUCCGUGCCAGCAGCCGCGGUAAUUC